rnacentral:rRNA from 1 species
GGCACCUAUGCCGCCCGGGGGAUGGCUCGGCUCGGGCGCCGAGGAAGGGCGUGGCAAGCUGCGAUAAGCCCGGGGUAGGCGCAGGCAGCCGUCGAACCCGGGAUCCCCGAAUGGGACUUCCCGCUGCGGGUGAAGAGCCCGCAGCGCCCCCGUUUGGGGGCGGGAACCCCCCGAAAGGAAGCAUCUGAGUAGGGGGAGGAGAAGAAACCAACAGGGAUCCCCUGAGUAGGGGCGACCGAAAGGGGGAGAGCCCAAACCAAUCCCCCACGGGAGGACCGUGGGGGGAUGAGGGGUUGCGGCCCUGCGGCUGGGGCUUCGAGCCCCGGCGGGCCGACCCACGGUAGCCGAAGUGGGCUGGAAUGCCCCGCCGUAGAGGGUGAUAGCCCCGUAGGCGAAACCGUGGGGGCCCGUGCCGCAGGGCAGAGUACCACGGCUUGGUAUUGCCGUGGGAAGCUGGGAGGAACCGACUUCCAAGGCUAAAUACGUCCCGAGACCGAUAGCGAACUAAGUACCGUGAGGGAAAGCUGAAAAGAACCCCGGGAGGGGGGUGAAAAGAGCCUGAAACCGGGCGGCGACAUACGGUGCGGCCCGAAAGGGGUGAAACCCCCGAAGGAAACCCGGGCGACCGGGGAGUACGAGGGGGCUGGACCGGGGUCGCACCGUCCGUCUUGAAACACGGGCCGGGGAGUUCACGGCCGUGGCGAGCUUAAGGGGGUCAACCCCGUAGGCGCAGGGAAACCGACAGGCCCGCAGCCGGGGGCGACCCCGGCGAGGGGCGGGGUCCUAAUAGGGCCCGGAGUCACGGCCGUGAGACCAGAAACCGGGCGAUCUAGGCGGGGGCAGGGCGAAGCCGGGGGAAACCCCGGUGGAGGCCCGCAAGGGUGCUGACGUGCAAAUCGCUCCCCUGACCCCCGUCUAGGGGUGAAAGGCCAAUCUAGCCCGGAAGAUAGCUGGUUCCCGCCGAAGUGGCUCGCAGGCCAGCCCCGCCGGAGGCCGGGCCGUGGGGUAGAGCUACUGAUUGGGCGUGCAGGGGGCGUAAAGCCCCCGGCGCCCAGUCAAACUCCGAACCUGCGGCCGCCGUAGAUGGCGGGAGUGGGGUUCCCCGGGGUAAGCCCGGGGGCCGAGAGGGGAACAACCCAGACCGGGGUUAAGGCCCCUAAGUGCCGGCUAAGUGCCAAGCCAAAGGGCGUCCCCCGCCUAAGACAGCGGGGAGGUGGGCCUAACAGCAGCCAUCCUCUAAGGAGUGCGUAACAGCUCACCCGCCGAGGCGGGGGGCCCCGAAGAUUGGUCGGGGCUUAAGCCGGCCGCCGAGACCCCGGGCCGCGGCUCCGAUGGAGCCGCGUGCGGUAGGCGGGCGUCGGGGUGGCGUAGAAGCCGGGCCGCGAGGUCCGGUGGAGCCGCCCCGAGUGCGGAUCCCGGCGGUAGUAACAGCGAAGCGGGGUGAGAAUCCCCGCCGCCGGAAAGGGCAAGGGUUCCCCGGCAAUGGUCGUCAGCCGGGGGUCAGCCGGUCCUAACCGGGACCGUAACACGGAUCCCGGGAAGGGGAAACGGGUUAACAUUCCCGUGCCGCGGGGGUACGCUUCGCGGCAACGCAAGGCCCCACCCCCGACGCCUCGGGGUAGGCGGACCGGGGGCCCCCUUAGGGGGGCGACCCGGCUAACCUGCCGAAGGCCGGGGAGUGCCGUAACGGCGAGAACCGGCCGAAGGGGGGAAUGGCCCGCCUAUGGCGGGUUCCGCCGACCCCUGGGGCCCUUGAAAAGGGGGUGGGGAAGGAUCCCCCGCGCCCGUACCGAGAACCGACACAGGUGCCCCUGGGUGAGCAGCCCAAGGCGUCUGGGGGCUAACCCGGGCCAGGGAACUCGGCAAAUUGGCCCCGUAACUUCGGGAGAAGGGGUGCCUGCGGUCCUGGGGCCCGAACCCUGGGACCGCAGGUCGCAGUGCCUAGGGGGGCCUGACUGUUUAACAAAAACAUAGCUCCCCGCUAGCCCGAAAAGGGUGUGUACGGGGGGUGAGCCCUGGCCACUGGCGGUCCGUGAAACCGGGGUACAACCCGGCGAAGCGCCGCUGAAGGCCGGGAGUAACCCUGACUCUCUUAAGGUAGCCAAAUGCCUUGCCGGGUAAGUUCCGGCGCGCAUGAACGGGUCAACGAGGUCCCCACUGUCCUGGCCCGGGGCCCCGUGAACCCCCUGAGCCGGUGCACAGUCCGGCAUCCCCCCGCAGGGAGAGAAGACCCCGUGGAGCUUUACCGCAGCCCGGCGUUGGCCCCCGGGUGGGGGUGCGUAGCGUAGGUGGGAGCCGAUGAGCCACCCUCUCCGGGGGGUGGGGAGGCGUCCAUGAAACACCACCCACCCCCGCCCGGGGGCCUAACCCCGCCCCGGGUGGGCGGGGGACAGCGUCGGGUGGGCGGUUUGGCUGGGGCGGCACGCCCGCGAAAGGGUAACACGGGCGCCCAAAGGUCGGCUCAGGCGGGUCAGAACUCCGCCGUAGAGUGCAAGGGCAAAAGCCGGCCUGACCGGACCCCUGAAAGCAAGGGGUCCGGCCGGGAAACCGUGGCCUAGCGCACGCUCGUGCCCCCUCGGUGGGGGCCGGGCACGACAGAAAAGUUACCCCGGGGAUAACAGAGUCGUCGCGGGCGAGAGCCCCCAUCGACCCCGCGGUUUGCUACCUCGAUGUCGGCUCUUCCCAUCCUGGGGGUGCAGCAGCCCCCAAGGGUGGGGCUGCCCGCCCAUUAAAGGGGAACGUGAGCUGGGUUCAGACCGUCGUGAGACAGGUCGGUCUCUACCCGCGGGGGGUGUGGGCCGCCUGAGGGGAAGGUGCCCUUAGUACGAGAGGAACGGGGCGCCGCGGCCUCUGGUGUACCGGUUGUCCUGGUGGGCAACGCCGGGCAGCUAAGCCGUAGGGGGUAACCGCUGAAAGCAUCUAAGCGGGAACCCCUCCCCGAAAAGAGGCGGCCGUUGGGCGCCGGCCUGGUGCCGGCGUCCACGAGGGCUCCCGUAGAAGACGGGGUUGAUGGGGCGGGGGUGUGAGCCCCGAGGGGGCUUAGCCCUCGAGGGGUGUAGCCCGCCGCUCCCAAUCGCCCGAGGUCG